UGGGGUGUAGGGGGAGGGGUAGUUGUAUGGGUGGCAGUGCUGAGGAUGGGGUGUAGGGGGAAGGGGUAGUUGUAUGGGUGGCAGUGCUGAGGACGGUGUAGGGGGAGGGGUAUUGUAUGGAUGGCAGAGCUGACGAUGGCGUUUAGGGGGAAGGGAUAGUUGGGGGUGGGCAGAGCAGUGGUGGACUGGACAGAGGUGUGGUGGGUUCAAAGAUUAGCAUAUUUUCAUUUUCAGCUAGUGUACAAGGAAUGGAAAAAGCACGAAAAGACGAGAGGCAUGUGCUCCACCUGUAACCCCGUUUCUAGCUGGGCCUGCCAGAGCAAACCCAAGGGCUCCAGUCAUUUUGCAGAUGCGCUAGUGACCGUCUGCUCCUUCUAGUGAACAGUAUAGUGCAGUAUAGUGCAGGGCCCAGAGAGUGAGAUUCAAGAGUGAAUCAUCGCUCCCAGCAAACAUGGAGAUAGGAUGCAACAGGAGAACCUCCUUUUUGCCCCGAACUCCACACUCAGUACAGGAGCGGUCACUUGUACUGAACGGGGGUGUAGCAACCCUGCAGUAUAGUAAAGAUAGAGAUAUAGAUAUAGAGAUACAGUCGUGAAACACAACCUGCAGGGCAAGACUCGGCCCCGUGCAGAGGGACAACACUAGGCGAACGGCACCCCUAGUGAACUCCAGGUGACCCCUUUCUUUCUGGUUAUUUAUAGGGAAGCCCCGUGCGCAGGGAGACCAGAGACAGUGGAGCCCCGCAUGUGGGGAACGCAGAUAGAGGGAGCGCAGUGACCCGAGGCAUUUGCAGUGUGUGGGAAGCAGAUAUUUUCUAAUCUCACUUCUGUUUAUUUUUGUAGCUGUCCCUCUGUAAAUAGAAUUGGUUUGGCA